UGAUACGAGGCAGAUGAAACA
rnacentral:piRNA from 1 species